AACGAACGUUAGCGGCGCGCCUAACACAUGCAAGUCGAGCGAGAAAGGGCUUCGGCCCCGGUAAAGCGGCGCACGGGUGAGUAACACGUAGGUAAUCUACCCCCAGGUGGUGGAUAACCUUCCGAAAGGAGGGCUAAUACAGCAUGAGACCACGACUCCGAAAGGAGAUGAGGUCAAAGCCGGCCUCUUCACGAAAGCUGGCGCCAGGGGAUGAGCCUGCGGCCCAUCAGCUAGUUGGUAGGGUAACGGCCUACCAAGGCGAAGACGGGUAGCUGGUCUAGGAGGAUGAUCAGCGACAGUGGAACUGAGACACGGUCCAGACUCCCACGGGAGGCAGCAGUGGGGAAUCUUGCGCAAUGGGCGAAAGCCUGACGCAGCGACGCCGCGUGAGUGAUGAAGGCCCUCGGGUUGUAAAGCUCUGUGGAGAGGGACGAAUAAGUGUUGGCUAACAUCCAGCGCGAUGACGGUACCUCUUUAGCAAGCACCGGCUAACUCUGUGCCAGCAGCCGCCGUAACAC
rnacentral:rRNA from 1 species